AAAGCAAGACCGUGAGGUGGAGCAAAACUCAAAAACUUAGUCUCAGUUCGGAUUGUAGGCUGAAACUCGCCUACAUGAAGCUGGAGUUGCUAGUAAUCGCGAAUCAGCAUGUCGCGGUGAAUACGUUCCCGGGCCUUGUACACACCGCCCGUCACACCAUGAGAGUUGGCAAUACCCAAUGUACGUGAUCUAACCCGCAAGGGAGGAGGCGUCCUAAGGUAGGGUCAGCGAUUGGGGUGAAGUCGUAACAAGGUACC
rnacentral:rRNA from 1 species